GACGCUUUGAGUCUAUAGAGGGGUGUCUUGAGUCUAAAAAGGUUGAAGACCACUAUACUAAAAUGUGAUUGUGUAACUAAGUACUGUGUUGUAGGCCUGUGCCAGUGUUCAGUGGCUUCUGUGAUUGCACAGGAAAUGAACAGGCUUUUAACUCUGAAGCCUAAUGGUGACAUUCUGAAGAUUAAUCAUGAGCUGUUUUAAGAUUGUAAUCCAAGCGUGCACUCCCUGCUGAAUCAGGCAUUCGGGUGCUUUUCAAUACCAGACUGAGUUAGCAAUCCUCUGUUGCCAUGCAGCUGUGAAGUAGAUCCCACAUUCAGUGAAACUUCUGUUCACUGUGUUCCAGUAUCAGAGAAAUGAGCGUUUCCCAGGAGACAACAGACUUCCCAAGGACUAGUUUUACGUUUACAGAAAAGAAAGUAGCACUCAUUUUAUACCAGCACAGUCACCCCAGCUAGUCUGUUCAUAGGUUCCUUUGGGGUCUGUUGCCGCAUGUUAACAUGCUAUAAAAUCUGCUUUGUCCUCAA